rnacentral:rRNA from 1 species
UGGGGAAUCUUGCGCAAUGGGCGAAAGCCUGACGCAGCCAUGCCGCGUGAAUGAUGAAGGUCUUAGGAUUGUAAAAUUCUUUCACCGGGGACGAUAAUGACGGUACCCGGAGAAGAAGCCCCGGCUAACUUCGUGCCAGCAGCCGCGGUAAUACGAAGGGGGCUAGCGUUGCUCGGAAUUACUGGGCGUAAAGGGAGCGUAGGCGGACAUUUAAGUCAGGGGUGAAAUCCGGGGCUCAACCUCGGAAUUGCCUUUGAUACUGGGUGUCUUGAGUGUGAGAGAGGUAUGUGGAACUCCGAGUGUAGAGGUGAAAUUCGUAGAUAUUCGGAAGAACACCAGUGGCGAAGGCGACAUACUGGCUCAUUACUGACGCUGAGGCUCGAAGCGUGGGGAGCAAACAGGAUUAGAUACCCUGGUAGUCCACGCCGUAAACGAUGAUUGCUAGUUGUCGGGAUGCAUGCAUUUCGGUGACGCAGCUAACGC